rnacentral:SRP_RNA from 1 species
AUCUCCUCAGGGCCGGAAGGAAGC